GUGUUGUUGGGUAGGGGAGCGUUCUGUAAGCCUGUGAAGGUGUGUCGUGAGGCAUGCUGGAGGUAUCAGAAGUGCGAAUGCUGACAUAAGUAACGAUAAAGCGGGUGAAAAGCCCGCUCGCCGGAAGACCAAGGGUUCCUGUCCAACGUUAAUCGGGGCAGGGUGAGUCGACCCCUAAGGCGAGGCCGAAAGGCGUAGUCGAUGGGAAACGGGUUAAUAUUCCCGUACUUGGUGUUACUGCGAAGGGGGGACGGAGAAGGCUAUGUUGGCCGGGCGACGGUUGUCCCGGUUUAAGCGUGUAGGUGUGUGUUCCAGGUAAAUCCGGUUCACUUUAACACUGAGGCGUGAUGACGAGGCACUACGGUGCUGAAGCAACAAAUGCCCUGCUUCCAGGAAAAGCCUCUAAGCAUCAGGUAACAUCAAAUCGUACCCCAAACCGACACAGGUGGUCAGGUAGAGAAUACCAAGGCGCUUGAGAGAACUCGGGUGAAGGAACUAGGCAAAAUGGUGCCGUAACUUCGGGAGAAGGCACGCUGACACGUAGGUGAAGUGAUUUACUCAUGGAGCUGAAGUCAGUCGAAGAUACCAGCUGGCUGCAACUGUUUAUUAAAAACACAGCACUGUGCAAACACGAAAGUGGACGUAUACGGUGUGACGCCUGCCCGGUGCCGGAAGGUUAAUUGAUGGGGUCAGCGCAAGCGAAGCUCCUGAUCGAAGCCCCGGUAAACGGCGGCCGUAACUAUAACGGUCCUAAGGUAGCGAAAUUCCUUGUCGGGUAAGUUCCGACCUGCACGAAUGGCGUAAUGAUGGCCAGGCUGUCUCCACCCGAGACUCAGUGAAAUUGAACUCGCUGUGAAGAUGCAGUGUACCCGCGGCAAGACGGAAAGACCCCGUGAACCUUUACUAUAGCUUGACACUGAACAUUGAGCCUUGAUGUGUAG
rnacentral:rRNA from 1 species